rnacentral:lncRNA from 1 species
AUUGAACAUCUUACUACUUAAAUGAAUGACAUACAACAAGCUCAAGGAUCGAACCAACUACCUGCCUAAAUAGUAGUGAAUCCAAAAGGCCCAAAUAUGAGCGUUUCCUUGAGAUCCGGAAAAAAUAUAGAUCCAUCCCCAGAAAAAAAAUAAAAAAAUUAUUACUGCAACAUUUGAACCUUCUGUUGUUGUUGAGGCUUAAAAAG